UACGGAGGGGGCUAGCGUUGUUCGGAAUUACUGGGCGUAAAGCGCACGUAGGCGGCUUUGUAAGUUAGAGGUGAAAGCCCAGGGCUUAACCCUGGAAUUGCCUUUAAGACUGCAUCGCUAGAAUCGUGGAGAGGUGAGUGGAAUUCCGAGUGUAGAGGUGAAAUUCGUAGAUAUUCGGAAGAACACCAGUGGCGAAGGCGACUCACUGGACACGGUAUUGACGCUGAGGUGCGAAAAGCGUGGGGAGCAACAGG
rnacentral:rRNA from 1 species